GCAAUCUAUUGCCGACUUGCGUAUUGGAUACCGAAUCACGAACGUCGGCGCGCGCAUUGACGUCUCGCGGGGUAUUCACUGGAGAGGCAGGCGGCCCUGAAGGGCUCGUCGGGAGCGUCCUCGUCGCCCACGGGCACGCACAGCUCACAAACAGCUUGCGCUUUCUCCGUCACCGCUUCACACUCGAGGCACAUUGUCCUCACUACCAUUGUACCUGGUCGUAUUUAAGGUCGAGUUGACUUCUCUCAAAGCAGCUAGAAAGGUAUCUGCGGCGUAAGGUUCCGGACUUGCAUCGGCAACAUUACUGUUGAGACAUUUACUUUCCGCUGCUCGCAAGCUUAAAUAUGUCUCGUGUAGUUUUUCUGUUGCUAUCUGGCAAUGUCAUAGCAAUAAAAUAAACAAUUUAUAAAUA